ACUUUUUCACACAGGGCCAUGUAGGGUUGGAUUUUAUUUCUCCCUUAAUAAUUUAAAAACUGCAUUUUGUGUUCACUUGUGCUGUCUUUGACUUAUAUUUAAAUUUGUUUGAUGAUGGGAAACAUUUAAGAGUGACCAACAUGCAAAACAAUAAGAAAUCAGGAAGGGGGCAAACAUUUAAUCACACCACUGUACUUUCCAGCAUCUUUGAACUUUGACUUUAUUACCCCUUCAUCUUGGAAAAAUGGGACUUUAUUAUGGGCAACAACGUGGGGCUGUGGCUUUCCCCUCGGAGGCUGUGUCUGGGCUGGUAGAGGGCGGGCACCGUGGGCUGAGCCUGGGCUUGGCUCUCCUCCGCCAUGGACCGCUGCCACUGACUGCGGGCCUUCUUCAGCCAGCGCCCCCCCAGGCCCCAUUUCUCCAGAGCUCAAAAAGCAGCCCAAGAAUGAGAUGAAGGUCCACUCUUACUGCAGACGACAGACGUCUUUCAGUCGAUCAGCAUUUGAAAAGAGGCGAUCUCUUUCAGGUUAUAAUCCGCUUGGUGCGGUACAACCACCUUCAGCCUCAACGAGGACAAUGUCGCCAUGAAAGAGAAGCGAACAGAGCGGCGCGAGGGUGGACUGGAAGUAAAAGGGAGGCGCCUGUAAAGCGUUUCGUGCGACCUUUACGCUCACUACACAUGUUGGGAACAAUGUAACAGAACUCAUUUGCAGUUUUGCGUCCCAUAAAUCCUGCUGCAUAGAAAGAGCGCUGAGCUGGCAAAAGUGGACGAUAAAGAGUAUUAAUGAUGAGGGUUGUUAAAGGAAGUGUCAAAUUGGCUCCUUCAAGGGACACCAGCUGUUUUGUCAUCUACCUGCUUAAUUUCUUUUAACAUGCCGUAAAAUGUGUGUACGUUUACACAGCCUGUAAAACAACUUUUGUUUUUUUAAACCUUUCGGAAAAACAACCUCUUUUCACAUGAA